AACCUGUUCAUUGAUCUAGCUGAGAGUAAGACAAGUAGUCUUACUAUAACUAACUGCUUUGUAUGUGGAGGAACAAAUAUGGGAGACCAAUGGCCAUGGGAAGCGAGAGAAGUAUGGUAGCCUGGUUCUGAGACAAAUGAGCAACAGAUGCCUUCCCAUUCCAGUAAUCAAGCAACUAUACGGGAAAAAUCGUAAUGGCAAUUAAAAACAUCUAUAAUCGGUCAUGUAUGCUUAGCUGUAGGCAGAAAGCAUAUAAUUAUAGUUGUCAUAAUACUACCUAGUGGUCAGCUUCAAAUGUCUCAGAGCCUACCAACCCUUUUGUUAAUUACACCAAUUUCAGAGGUAUGGUUUGAUCUAUCGGCUACAUCUAACAGGAGAG